GUUUGACCUCGGAUCAGGUAGGGAUACCCGCUGAACUUAAGCAUAUCAAUAAGCGGAGGAAAAGAAACCAACAGGGAUUGCCUCAGUAACGGCGAGUGAAGCGGCAACAGCUCAAAUUUGAAAUCUGACCCCUUCGGGGCCCGAGUUGUAAUUUGUAGAGGGUGUUUCGGGCGCGGCGCCGGUCUAAGUUCCUUGGAACAGGACGUCAUAGAGGGUGAGAAUCCCGUAUGCGACCGGCGAUCAAGCCCAUGUGAAGCCCUUCGACGAGUCGAGUUGUUUGGGAAUGCAGCUCAAAAUGGGUGGUAAAUUCCAUCUAAAGCUAAAUAUUGGCCGGAGACCGAUAGCGGACAAGUAGAGUGAUCGAAAGAUGAAAAGCACUUUGGAAAGAGAGUCAAACAGUACGUGAAAUUGUUGAAAGGGAAGCGCUUGCCACCAGACCGGUCCGGGGGUGAUCAGCCGCUGCUCGUCAGCUGGUGCACUCGCCCUCGAUUCCGGCCAGCAUCGGUUUGGGCGGCGGGAGAAAAGCUCCGGGAAUGUAGCUUCUUUCGGGGAGUCUUAUAGCCCGGGGCGCAAUGCCGCCCGCCCGGACCGAGGACCGCGCUUCGGCUAGGAUGCUGGCGUAAUGGUUGCAAGCGACCCGUCUUGAAACACGGACCAAGGAGUCUAACAUCUAUGCGAGUGUUUGGGUGUCAAACCCAGGCGCGGAAUGAAAGUGAACGGAGGUGGGAGCCCGUCGCACGGCGCACCAUCGACCGAUCCAGAUGUCUUCGGAUGGAUUUGAGUAUGAGCAUAGCUGUUGGGACCCGAAAGAUGGUGAACUAUGCCCGGAUAGGGUGAAGCCAGAGGAAACUCUGGUGGAGGCUCGCAGCGGUUCUGACGUGCAAAUCGAUCGUCAAAUCUAGGCAUAGGGGCGAAAGACCAAUCGAACC
rnacentral:rRNA from 1 species